rnacentral:tRNA from 1 species
GCCCUGGUAGUGUAGACCGGUCUAUCAUGCGGCCCUGUCGAGGCCGCGACCCGGGUUCAAAUCCCGGCCAAGGGCG